AUGGCCAUUGACUUGAAUAUAGCACCAGGAGAGGGAGAAGAUGAACAUGAGCCUCCCUUGCAUGAGGAAGUGCUCCAGUUUGGUCAUCACUUCGAUCUGAACAUGAACCCGGAGGACGAACAUGAGGCUGCCUUGCUUAAAGAACCCCAGGUUGGUUUUGAGCCUCACUUGCAUGAAGAAGUACUCCAGGCCGGCCAUCAAUUCGCUGGAGAAGAUGAACAUGAGCCUCCCUUGCAUGAAGAAGUACCACUGGCUGGACAUCACUUCGAUCUGAACAUGAACCAUGAACAUGAGGCCGACAUUUCCCAUGAAGAAGAGGAACAUGAGGCCGAUGUUGCCCAUGGAGAAGAGGACCUGCAUGAAUCAGAUGAAUCAGACGAUGAACUUGAAGACCACGGUGGUUUUUUCCAGAGCAUGGAAGAGGAAGUGCAAGCAAUGGAUGAAGCUCUAGAUAACCUUCAUGUUGACCCGGAGGACUAUGGUGUGUAUGCCGGAGAUAUAGAGAUUCAGUUUGACGAAGAAGAGCUUGAUGAUUCAGAACCGCAUGAAGCCAUGUACGAUUCAGCACCAGAUGAAGACAUGGAUGUGGAGCAAGAAGAUAAUGAACAAGUUCAUAAUGAAGACAAACACAAGAAUUUAACAGAUUUGCAAAGGACUGGUAUUUAUGAAGAAUUGCUAGCAAGAAGUGUCGACCGGAGAUUAAAGAAGACCACAACCAGAGAAGUUGCAAACAUGUUCCAAGUUUCAGUAUACAAGGUCAGACGCGUUUGGAGGAGGGUGAAGGAGUGUCUUCGACAAGGCAUACCCGUUGAUGUACGAUCAAGGAAGCCCAAAAAUUGUGGUCGCAAAAGGAUUGUAGUUGACCUUGGUAGGGUUCCAGAGAUUCCUCGGAGUCAAAGGAGAACUAUACGUAGUCUUGCAAGGGCUUUGGGUGUGAAGAAAAGCACAUUACAUAGGAUGUUUACGGAAGGCUUGCUAGAUAGGCAUUCCAGCUCACUCAAGCCAUAUUUGAAGGAAGCAAACAUGAAGGCUAGGCUGCGGCAUUGUCUCUCUAUGUUUGACACGCAAAGUUUGCCAAAUAAGCCCACAUUCAAGGACAUGCGUAACAUAUUACAUUUAGAUGAAAAGUGGUUUAACACCACCCAAAAGACCAUGAAAUUCUACAAGAUGCCAUCAGAAGAAAACCCACAUAGGACUGUGCAAAAUAAAAACUCCAUUGGAAAAAUAAUGUUUUUGGUUGUAAUAGGCAGGCCUAGAUAUAAUGCAGAAGGUAUUUGCAUUUUUGAUGGAAAGAUAGGCAUUUGGCCGUUUAUCAAAAAGGUGAAUUUCAACCUUUACUCUUUUAUUUAUUAG
rnacentral:rRNA from 1 species